AGUCCCAACCCCCACUUUGAGAACCCCUGUGCUAGGGUGACCAGAUAUCCUGAUUAUAUAGGGACAGUCCCGAUAUUUGGGGCUUUGUCUAAUAUAGGCACCUAUUAUCCCCACCUGUCCCAAUUUUUCGCACUUCUCAUCUGGUCAGGCCAGCUGCUGCUAGGAAGCUGCUGGAGGCUGCCGGGGCUUUGAGCUGCAGGGAGCCUCAAAGGCUGUUGGUGGCUUCACUGGAGUCCGAGCAGAGACUGUUGCUGUGCUUGGAGCCUGCAGAGGAGGAACGACACGUCCCAUCACUGACCGUGGGGUCACUGGACUGGUGCUGACGGAGCCCAGCUGUAUGUAGCCAAGGACAAGCCACACUCAGGAGUUCCAGGCACUGGGGUUAAACCCAGCGUGAAGAACCUUCUGGGAGCCAUUAAAGAGAAUUAAACGUUUGCCAGUUUACAGCCCAGGAAACAGAUGACGUGGAGUGGCCUGAAGG